rnacentral:rRNA from 1 species
UACGAAGGGGGCUAGCGUUGCUCGGAAUCACUGGGCGUAAAGGGUGCGUAGGCGGGUCUUUUAAGUCAGGGGUGAAAUCCUGGAGCUCAACUCCAGAACUGCCUUUGAUACUGCAAAUCUCGAGUCCGGAAGAGGUGAGUGGAAUUCCUAGUGUAGAGGUGAAAUUCGUAGAUAUUAGGAAGAACACCAGUGGCGAAGGCGGCUCACUGGUCCGGUACUGACGCUGAGGUGCGAAAGCGUGGGGAGCAAACAGG